rnacentral:rRNA from 1 species
CGCAAGACCUCUCACUAUUGGAGCGGACCGAUAUCGGAUUAGCUAGUUGGUGGGGUAAAGGCUCACCAAGGCAUUGACGGGGAUCCGUACAAGCUGUGUUUGAUGAGGACGAAUCCGAUGCCACACUGGGACCUGAGACACGGCCCAGACUCCUACGGGAGGCAGCAGUGGGGAAUUUUGGACAGCUGGGGAGAAACCCUGAUCACAGCCAUCCCGCGUGUAUGAUGAAGGCCUUCGGGUUGUAAAGUACUUUUGGCAGAGAAGAAAAGGUAUCCCCUAAUACGGGAUACUGCUGACGGUAUCUGCCACGAAUAAGCACCGGCUAAUGCUACGUGCCAGUGACAGCCGCGGUAAUACGUAGGGAUGCAAGCGUUAAUCGGAAUUACUGGGCGUAAAGCGUGUGUAGGCGGUUCGGACGUAAGAAAGAUGGUCGAAAUCCCAGGGUCUCCAACCUUGGAACUGGAGCCAUUUUUAGACUGCCGAGCUAGAGUAUGUCAGGAGGGGGGUAUGCAAUUCCACUGUGUAGCAGUCGAAAUGCGCUAGAUAUCGUGGAGCAGAAUACCGAUGGCGAAGGCAGCCCCCUGGGAUAAUACUGACCGCUCAGCACACGAAAGCAGUGGGGAGCAAACAGGAUUAGAUACCCUGACCGUAGUCCACGCCCCCACGAUGUCAACUAGCUGUUGGGGCCGUUAGGCCUUAGUAGCG